CAGUCGCCGCGGUAAUACGGAGGGGGCUAGCGUUGUUCGGAAUUACUGGGCGUAAAGCGCACGUAGGCGGCUUUGUAAGUUAGAGGUGAAAGCCCGGAGCUCAACUCCGGAAUUGCCUUUAAGACUGCCGAGCUAGUAGGUGAGAGAGGUAAGUGGAAUUCCGAGUGUAGAGGUGAAAUUCGUAGAUAUUCGGAAGAACACCAGUGGCGAAGGCGGCUUACUGGCUCAUUCUAGACGCUGAGGUGCGAAAGCGUGGGGAGCAAACAGGAUUAGAUACCCCCGUAGUCCCUGUCUCUUAUAA
rnacentral:rRNA from 1 species